UUCUGUAUGGAGGCCUUUCCAGGGAUCAGCUCCUUUUCCCAGAGUGUUUCCACUGGGAGACUCCAUGAGACUCAGUGACUGAUUUAGAGACAGAGCAAGCAUGCACUUCCACCAUGGCACCCAGGAGAGAGGGACCCACAUGCCCCAUUGGCUAUUUUGGACUUCCUUUGCUUGAACUUGGUUCUGUACAAAGAAGAAAGACCUUGACAAGUGAAUGGAGAAGGUUUCUUCAGAAUGCAGGUAAUUUCUUCUUGGGAAGAAAAGCCAGGUUAAAAAUUACACACCUCUUCAAAAACUAGAUUUAAAUGCUCUCUGCAUUUCCUCUUCUCAUGGAGAAACAGGACAAGUUGAACUGUGAAACAUUGCCUGUGAAUAAUUACCUUGAGGGAAGAGACUGUGGAGGUUGAUAUCAGCCUUGUUCUGCUGUGCCAGGAGGGCUAUGGCGUGUGUUCCUUCUGCACUGCUCUGGAGAAAAUGCCCUGCAAUCCAUGUGCCAGAUCCUUUUGAGAGGGAGAUGCACUCGCCAUGUGUUGGAGGAGCUGGAUGAAGAGGAAAAGACCUGGAAAAAAGCCAGAAGACAAAGAAGUUUGGGCAAGUGUGUGCAGGGGUUUUGUGGCUGCUUGUUCAGGAGCAAUGCUCUGAGCACCUGUAAUGUGUUUGGGUAGACCUCAAGGAGCACACCAUCAGUGGAUUCCCUUUUCUUUGCUGACUUCCUCUUAACAGGAGCCCUUAUUCCUAAGGCCCUUGUGUUGCAUGCAGGUCCCCCCGUGCAGCUGAAAGGCAGCUACACCUUGAUGAAGUGGAAGGUGAGAUUGACGAGUCAUUGCAUGAAAAGAAGAAACUAACCUGAAAACCACAAAACAUCAGAAGAACUGGAUCAGGAGCUGUCUUUCAAGGGUUUCAUUAAACCGAGUUGGAGUUAGAGCCUUCUAAAAGAAAGCACAUGAAUGCAUUUAACAAAGGAAGAGUUUAAGAAAAGCGCUUGAAGUGGAGCUGGUUUCUAAUAGAUGGAUCUUGAAAAUCCUUUGUGUCGGUGUGUGGGUUUUUCUAA